CAGUCACCUCCCGAGGAGUUGUGCCCCCCACUUGCUCUGUCCUGGGAGUUCUGAGAGUGCAUCGUCCGCGGUAGACAGUGACCCGGCUGGUCCAACCACAGAGACCCCAGUCCUCCGAGAUUCAAGAGCGGUCUGUGCUGAGGCCGCCCCUGACUUCCGGUGGCUGGUCCUUUCCGCGCAGCUUGUGGCUAACCGGAACCUCUGCUCGCGGUUUCCUGUCCUCGGCGUGCUCUUGUCGGUGAUAACAGCGUUUUGGGCAGAAUGCAGUAGUUCGUUCAUUCACGUAGCAACUGUUUACCGGGCACCGUGUAAGGCCUGCCAGUGUGGACAGGCAAAGUGGACGUAGUGGAGUAUGUGCUCUGGGAGGAAAGGUUUUCGGCUGGGAGCUGGGUCGGGCUGUAAGAGGUGGUUUUGGAAUUGGAACUCCAAAGAUCCCUGGGUUUUCACCAGUAAAAUGACAAAGAAAGGCCCUGAAGUUCAGCAAAAGUGUGUAGGCGUAGAGGUGGAGAAACAAAAGCUGUGUACAGGUUCCGCCUUUGCCCUGAAUAACCAUUGAGUGGAAGAGGGGACACCCCUGGAACCCGUCUGAGUGCCAGGCUGACUGUUUAGUCUUUAAAUUGCAAACUCAAGACCCAUGGUACUGGGCUUCGCGCAUGCAGGCAAGCACUCUACUAUUGAGAUUCCCGUCUGCACCCCAAGGCCCUUGUGUAUGGCAUUCAGAUGGAAAAACAAAGCCAACUGCAGUGGAGCACACCUGUAAUCCCACUCUACUUGGGAGAGUGAGACAGAGGAUCACCUCGAGUUCAAGGCCAGCCUGGGCUAAAUAGACCUUGUCUCCUCAAAAACCAAAACUAUAUAUUAAAAUUAAAAAGGGCUGGGGAUGUAGCUCAGUGGUGGGACGUCCCUGGUUCAGUUUCCAGUAAGAAAGACGGUAGGCGAAUGUUGUGGGUUCGAUUCCCGGUACCGGAAGAAAAACAAAACAAGACACAAGAAGUCCCUUCUCUUGUUCAGUAGUGACAGGGCUUGUUGUUGAUGGUGUGGUUAUUUUUUUUGUGUUUGUUUUUUGAGUUUUUUGUUGUCUUUGAACUUUAAGAGGUUUAUCCGGAUCUGUACAUUACAAUAGAAACGUAUCCUUGUGUUUUUAAAAAAAUGAACAUUAAUAGAAUUAUGAGUAUUGGGUAACUCUGAGGAUAAAUAUAUAUGUAGUGUUUAGACAUGUAAUAGUUAUAUUGACCUACUGAAUUAAGGUAAAUUUGUUGCUGAUUUCCUGACAGCAUAGCAAAAGCCAGAUUGUCUCAUGAUUUGCAUUGAACAUUAAUAAAUCACACUCAGGGGAAA